GCCGGUGUUUUAUUUAUAUGUGCCCCACCUGUUUCCAUUCCGAACACAGAAGUGAAAGCAUAUAAACCCGAUGAUACUUGGUUCAUUCCUGGGAAAGUAGGGUAUGCCGGUA
rnacentral:rRNA from 1 species